UGUGAUGCUUGAUUACGAUAAGCUUACCUCGUGUAUCGAUACAUUGUUCUCAUUCACCUCCACCACGGAAAUGCCGGCCGAAGUUCCUCUGAGCCAUCCACAACGCGGAAGUCAACAGUAUUUGGAAGGGCGAUUGGCAGCAAAUGCGGAUGCUAGAAUGUCUGGAUGAAUGAAUGAGUCAGUCAUCGGCACAGUAUUAAUGGAAAAAGAGAAGCAAUGAGGAACAAGAGAAGAGUAGCAGUGAGUGAAACUGAAGUCCAGCUUGAGAUACCCGGAUGACAGGUUGACAGUCUGGAAGGACCCUUCCAGAUUUCCGAAGUGAUUGGCAGACAGCGAUGAGGAGAGUCCUGUUAUUUCAAUGGGGGCCUACCAAGAAGUUAUAUGCUAAUUGACACUGGGACACACUCACAAAGGCUGGUCUGGCUAAUGUGAGAAGACCAACCACUGCCAAGUCGGAGUGGGAUCCUUCAAGGAUGUUGAAGAAAUUAUUGUCUUUGGCCAUGUU